CCUACGGGUGGCAGCAGUGAGGAAUAUUGGUCAAUGGACGAGAGUCUGAACCAGCCAAGUAGCGUGAAGGAUGACUGCCCUAUGGGUUGUAAACUUCUUUUAUAAAGGAAUAAAACGAGGCACGUGUGCCUUUUUGCAUGUACUUUAUUAAUAAGGAUCGGCUAACUCCGUGCCAGCAGCCGCGGUAAUACGGAGGAUCCGAGCGUUAUCCGGAUUUAUUGGGUUUAAAGGGGGCGUAGAUGGGUUGUUAAGUCAGUUGUGAAAGUUUGCGGCUCAACCGUAAAAUUGCAAUUGAUACUGGCAGUCGUGAGUACAGUUGAGGUAGGCGGAAUUCGUGGUGUAGCGGUGAAAUGCUUAGAUAUCACGAAGAACCCCGAUUGCGAAGGCAGCUUACUAAACUGUGACUGACAUUGAUGCUCGAAAGUGUGGGUAUCAAACAGGAUUAGAUACCCUGGUAGUC
rnacentral:rRNA from 1 species